UUGUUGGUGGGGUAAUGGCCUACCAAGGCGACGACGGGUAGCCGGCCUGAGAGGGUGACCGGCCACACUGGGACUGAGAUACGGCCCAGACUCCUACGGGAGGCAGCAGUGGGGAAUAUUGCACAAUGGGCGCAGGCCUGAUGCAGCGACGCCGCGUGAGGGAUGACGGCCUUCGGGUUGUAAACCUCUUUCAGCACAGACGAAGCGCAAGUGACGGUAUGUGCAGAAGAAGGACCGGCCAACUACGUGCCAGCAGCCGCGGUAAUACGUAGGGUCCGAGCGUUGUCCGGAAUUACUGGGCGUAAAGAGCUCGUAGGUGGUUUGUCGCGUUGUUCGUGAAAACUCACAGCUUAACUGUGGGNGUGCGGGCGAUACGGGCAGACUUGAGUACUGCAGGGGAGACUGGAAUUCCUGGUGUAGCGGUGGAAUGCGCAGAUAUCAGGAGGAACACCGGUGGCGAAGGCGG
rnacentral:rRNA from 1 species